AAAAUGUCUUCAGAUUCAUGACUGUCACCAACUGAUAGUCCAUUUAACUGCUGCUGUAAGUGUCCCACAGCCUGAGGCAGGUCUCGUGCUGGGAUGAACCAGUCCUGGUCCUCUUCAUCCAGCAUCUCCUGGAAGCAUCGGUCCAAGAAGUCUUGCUCCUGCAGCUCUUCCUCCACCUGCCAACAAAGGGGAAAGCUCAGAGGUGCUGUCCCAGAGGAUGAUCUUCCAGAGUCCUCAGCCCUUCCCUCCAGAUGGGCGGGAGCUAAUGAUGCUUCUAAUGACUACUGUGGUUUAAAUGAGAAACAUUCCCAAUUGGCUCAUGUUUCUGCAUACUUGGUCCCUAGUUGGUGGUGCUGUUUAGGGACAUCACAGAACCUGUAUGCAGGGUGAAGCCGUGAUGGAGAAAGUAUGUCACUGGAGGCAGGCUUUGAGAUUUACAGCCUUACCCAAUGUCUUGUUCUCUCUGCUUCCAAUUAGUAGAUAACAUGUGAUCAGCCAGCUUCUUGCUCCUGUUGCAAUGCCUGUUUGUUGCCAUGCCUUCUCAGAUAUGAUGGGCUGACUGUAUCCCUAUAGAACUGUAAGUUAAAAUAAACCCUUUUCUCCAAGUU
rnacentral:lncRNA from 1 species